CCCCCUCUGACUCUCUGCUGAAG
rnacentral:piRNA from 1 species